UACAGAGGGGGCAAGCGUUGUUCGGAAUUACUGGGCGUAAAGAGUGCGUAGGUGGUGCCCUAAGUCUGUUGUGAAAUCUCCCGGCUUAACUGGGAGGGUGCGGUGGAAACUGGGGUGCUUGAGUGUGGGAGAGGUAAGCGGAAUUCCUGGUGUAGCGGUGAAAUGCGUAGAUAUCAGGAGGAACACCGGUGGUGUAGACGGCUUACUGGACCACGACUGACACUGAGGCACGAAAGCGUGGGUAGCAAACAGG
rnacentral:rRNA from 1 species